UACAGAGGUCUCGAGCGUUGUUCGGAUUCAUUGGGCGUAAAGGGUGCGUAGGCGGGCAGGUAAGUCUGUGGUGAAAUCCCCGAGCUUAACUUGGGAACUGCCAUGGAUACUAUUUGUCUUGAAUAUCGUGGAGGUGAGCGGAAUAUGGCAUGUAGCGGUGAAAUGCUUAGAUAUGCCAUGGAACACCGAUUGCGAAGGCAGCUCACUACACGAUGAUUGACGCUGAUGCACGAAAGCGUGGGGAGCGAACAGG
rnacentral:rRNA from 1 species